UACGUAGGGGGCAAGCGUUGCUCGGAAUCACUGGGCGUAAAGGGCGCGUAGGCGGGAUGGCAAGUCAGUCGUGAAAUCUCUCGGCUCAACCGAGAAACGUCGGCUGAUACUGCCGUUCUUGAGGGAUGCAGAGGAGACUGGAAUUCCCGGUGUAGCGGUGAAAUGUGUAGAGAUCGGGAGGAACACCGGUGGCGAAGGCGGGUCUCUGGGCAUUUCCUGACGCUGAGGCGCGAAAGCGUGGGGAGCAAACGGG
rnacentral:rRNA from 1 species